UACGAAGGGGGCGAGCGUUGUUCGGAGUUACUGGGCGUAAAGGGCGCGUAGGCGGCGAUCCAAGUUAGGCGUGAAAGCCCCGGGCUCAACCUGGGAAUAGCGCUUAAGACUGGGUUGCUUGAGUGCGGGAGAGGUGAGUGGAAUUCCCAGUGUAGAGGUGAAAUUCGUAGAUAUUGGGAAGAACACCAGUGGCGAAGGCGGCUCACUGGCCCGCAACUGACGCUGAGGCGCGAAAGCGUGGGGAGCAAACAGG
rnacentral:rRNA from 1 species